rnacentral:lncRNA from 1 species
UGCAAAGCAAUUAAAGUAGGCCUCCCCAAAAUAGCAUUAUAAGCAGAAUCUACAUGCACAACAUAAAAUUUACAAAUAAUUUCUACCUGUUGAGGGGCCGUUCCAAAUAUGACUGGUAGCUCAAUGGUCCCAGCCACUUUAACCGGAUCAUUGCUGAAACCAUAAAGAGGAGCCUCCUGCCCUAUUUCCAUCUUUCGCCCAUCCAGAUUCAUCCUUUGAUAAGCGUGGGCGUACAGGAUGUCUACAGAAGACCCAUUAUCUACCAUCAUCCGCUUCAUAUCCACCGAACCCACUUGUGCAGUCAGCACCAAUGAUCCCUCGUGCGGUUCGAUGA